ACUUGUUAUUGGUAUCUUUGUUUUCUAUUUCUUCCUGGUUCAAUGUUGGUAGGUUGCAUGUGUCCAGGAAUGUAUAUAUUUCCAGUAGGUUUUCCAUUUUUGUUAUUGUAUAGUUGCUCAUAAUUGUCUCUAAUGAUCUUUUGUAUUUCUGUUGCAUCCGUUGUAAUUUUUUUUUUAGAUGAAGUUUUGCUUCUGUUGCCCAAGCUGAAGUGCAAUGGCGUGAUCUCAGCUCACCACAACCUCUGCCUCCCAGGUUCAAGCAAUUCUCCUACCUCAGUCUCCCGAGUAGCUGGGAUUACAGGCAUGAGCCACCAUACCUGGCUAAUUUUGUAUUUUUAGUAGAGACAGGGUUUCUCCAUGUUGGUCAGGCUGGUAUUGAACUCCCGACCUCAGGUAAUUUGCCUGCCUCGGCCUCCCAAAGUGCUGGGAUUACAGGUGUCAGCCACCGUGACCAGCCAUGUCUCUUUUUUUACUUCUAUUUGUUUGGAUCCUUUUUCUUGGUUAGACUAGCUAGUGGUUUAUUGAUUGAGUUUAUAUUUUCAAAGAACCAAUUUUUCAUUUUGUUGAUUCUUUGUAUUGUUUUUUUCAGUUUCUAUUUCAUUUUGCUUUGCUUUGCUCUUUAUUCUUUCUUUCCUUUUACUAAUUUUAGGUUUAGUCUGUUCUUGCUUUUCUAGUUUUUUGAGGUGGAUUUUUUAGGUUGUUUAUUCAACAUCUUUCUACUUUUCAGGUAUAGACGUUAAUUGCUAUAAACUUCCCUCUUAGCAUUGCUUUUUCUGUGUCACAAAGGUUUUGGUAUGUUUUUCCAUUUUCAUUUGUUUCAAGAAUUUUUACUUUCUUUCUUAAUUUUUACAUUGACCCAUUGGUUAUUCAGGUGUAUGUUGUUUAAUUUCCACAUAUUUGUUCCCAAAGUUCCUGUUGUUGAUUCCUAAUUUUCACUGUGGUCUUAGAAGAUACUUGAUAUGAUUUCAAUUUUUAAAACUUUCUUGAGGCUUGUUUUAUGGCCUAACAUAUGGUCCAUCCUGGAGAAUGUUCCAUGUGUUCAUGAGAAGAAUUUAUUUUCUGCUGCUGUUGCCUGAAAUGUUCUCUAAAUGUUAGAUCCAUUUGGUCUAAAGUGCAGUUUAAAUCCAAUGUUUCUUGAAUUUCUGUCUAGAUAAUCUCUUCCAUGCUGAAUGUGGGAGUGGUGAAAUCCCCAACUAUUGUUGUAUUAGCCUGUCUUUUUAGCUGUAAUAAUAUUUGUUUUAUAUAUUUUGGUUUCUGAUGUUGGGUGCAUAGAUAUUUACAAUUGUUAUAUCCUCUUGCCUAAUUGAUUCCUUUAUUAUAAUUUUCUUGUCUCAUUUUUUUUGACUUAAACUCUCCUUUGAUAUAAGUGUAGCUACUCCUGCAUGCUUUUGUUUUGUUUGCAUGAGGUAUUUUUUUCCAUCCCUUCAUUUUCAGUCUAUGUGUCUUUAUAGGUGAGAUGAGUUUCAUGUAGACAGCAUAUAUCUGGGUCUUAUUUUUGUUAGCCAUUCAGCCAGUCUAUAUCUUUUAGUUGGGGGAGCUUAAACUUUGACAUUCCAGCUUGUUAUUAAUAGGUGAGGACUUCCUGUCAUUUUGUUGUUUUCUGAUUGUUCUGAAUAUCCUUUCUUCCUUUAUUCUUCUUUUACUUUCUUUUAUGAUCUGGUGGUUUUUUUUUUUUUUUUUUUUUUUUUUAGAGUAACAACACUCCUAUUCCUGUUUUGUGUAUCUGCUCUACACUACUUUUGUUAAGUUUUCAUGAUGGUAGAUGUUGUCCUUUUGUUUCCUGGUGUAGGGCUCCCUUAAAUAUUUCUUGUGGGGCUAGUCUAGUGGUAAUGAAUUAUCUCCAUUUUUGUUUUUCUGAGAAAGACUACUUUCCCUUCAUUUUUCCAGGAUACCUUUGCUGGACACAGGAUUCUUGGUUGACAGUUUCUUUUUUUUUUUUUCUCUCAGUACUUUGACUAUUUUAUUCCUUUCUCUCCUGACCUACAAAGAUUCUGCUGAGAAAUUCAUUGUUAGUCUCAUGGAGAUUCCCUUAUAUGUGGUUUGAUGCUUUUUUUUUUAAAUUAUACUUUAAGUUCUAGGGUACAUGUGCA
rnacentral:lncRNA from 1 species